AUUUACAGCCAUAUUACCCUGAACACAUCCUAUCUCAUAAGAUUUCAGAAGCUAAGCAGGGUCAUGCCUGAUCAGUACUUGAAUAGGAGAAAUAGUGCAAGUC
rnacentral:rRNA from 1 species